rnacentral:rRNA from 1 species
UAAGGAAUAUUGGUCAAUGGACGCAAGUCUGAACCAGCCAUGCCGCGUGAAGGAUGAAGGCCCUCUGGGUUGUAAACUUCUUUUAUAGGGGACGAAAUGCAUUUUUUCUAAGAUGUUUGACGGUACCCUAGGAAUAAGCACCGGCUAACUCCGUGCCAGCAGCCGCGGUAAUACGGAGGGUGCAAGCGUUAUCCGGAUUCACUGGGUUUAAAGGGUGCGUAGGUGGGUUUGUAAGUCAGUGGUGAAAUCUCCAGGCUUAACCUGGAAACUGCCAUUGAUACUAUAGAUCUUGAAUUAUCUGGAGGUCAGCGGAAUAUGUCAUGUAGCGGUGAAAUGCUUAGAUAUGACAUAGAACACCGAUUGCGAAGGCAGCUGGCUACAGGUAAAUUGACACUGAGGCACGAAAGCGUGGGGAUCAAACAGG